UACGUAGGGGGCAAGCGUUGUCCGGAUUUAUUGGGCGUAAAGAGCGUGUAGGCGGCCAUGUAGGUCCGUUGUGAAAACUCGAGGCUCAACCUCGAGACGCCGAUGGAAACCAUGUGGCUAGAGUCCGGAAGAGGAGAGUGGAAUUCCUGGUGUAGCGGUGAAAUGCGCAGAUAUCAGGAGGAACACCGGUGGCGAAGGCGGUUCUCUGGGCCUUACCUGACGCUGAGGAGCGAAAGCGUGGGGAGCAAACAGG
rnacentral:rRNA from 1 species